UACGAGCUGUAAGCCUAGACUGGGCAUGUUU
rnacentral:piRNA from 1 species